rnacentral:pre_miRNA from 1 species
AAUUUGUCCCCUAAGUUUUACAACUAUAGCAGUUUUGGCCCCCCAAAGUCAAUUUUUGGUAAAAAAAUAACACGUGGCACCUCAUUUAGGGUGCCACGUCAGCGUAGACCGAGUCAAAAUUGAACUUAGGGGCCAAAACGCCACAGAUGCAAAACUUAGAGGGCGAUUU